GAUGAACGCUGGCGGCGUGCUUAACACAUGCAAGUCGAACGAUGAAGCCCAGCUUGCUGGGUGGAUUAGUGGCGAACGGGUGAGUAACACGUGAGUAACCUGCCCUUGACUCUGGGAUAAGCCUGGGAAACUGGGUCUAAUACUGGAUAUGACUUCUCAUCGCAUGGUGGGGGGUGGAAAGAUUUAUUGGUCUUGGAUGGACUCGCGGCCUAUCAGCUUGUUGGUGAGGUAAUGGCUCACCAAGGCGACGACGGGUAGCCGGCCUGAGAGGGUGACCGGCCACACUGGGACUGAGACACGGCCCAGACUCCUACGGGAGGCAGCAGUGGGGAAUAUUGCACAAUGGGCGCAAGCCUGAUGCAGCGACGCCGCGUGAGGGAUGACGGCCUUCGGGUUGUAAACCUAUUUCAGUAGGGAAGAAGCGAGAGUGACGGUACCUGCAGAAGAAGCGCCGGCUAACUACGUG
rnacentral:rRNA from 1 species